ACAAAAAUUUCAAUGAUUUUUUUUAUGUGUGAAAACACAUAUCCACCAGAAAGAGUUCAUCCCGAGACAUAUUAACGACACAUAUAAACAUUCAAUUGAUCAAAUUUUAAAAGGUAUGUGUCGAUACACAUAGUUGAAAUUUAUUAUUUCUCACACAUAGUUUUAAUGGUUUUAAACAAUGAGAAAAUGAAUGUAUGUAGCGCAUGAACUUUGUUGUUAUUGCGCCAUUUUUCUUCAAAAUCUUUCAGCAUGGCCACGAAGAAAUUUUGGUGUGGAGAAGUGCAGGACGUUGAAAUGGAAAUCUUUCAAGGAUUUACGUUCGCAAGAGGUGGUUGCUUCUACCGUAUCGGUAUUCCCACGGUUGCCUUGUGUGGAAGCAAAUACUGAGGCCAUCCUUCAUACCAUCCGAGUACUAGGAAACGAAAGACAUCCACCUAGAAAAGCGUACACAAAAGCUGCUGUGGUCAUCCUUCCAAGGCCAAUGGUAUACCCUGUGAGAAACUCGACCCUGCCAAACAACUUCUUGUAGAAGUCUGGGACAAACUUCCGGAACAUGCCAGCGCCGGCUAUGAAGAACUAUAUACCGACCAUACGUACGGGAACAAAAUCUAGAGAGGAACCGUUACGAUCCGGAGAAGACAGUAACUCUUGCCACGACUCUAGCUGGAUGUCACCGACCAGAGGGGUCGUCGGUACAAUGCGGAAUUACAGCAUAGAAAUCGAAGUUGUUUUUCAAAAAUGUAUCGUUAGUUAUUUGGCAUAAAUUAUGAAUAAAUUUUCAAAUUUUAAAAUGGAAUCGUGUUUUUGUCUAUCAAUAACAAUAAGAAAACAAUAAAAGCAAAAAUACCAUUCAAUUUGACAAAUAAAUACCAAAAGUCCUCACAGAUUAAAACUAAUAAUCAGGGAAUAUGAAAGUAAUAACAUCCACACAUAUUUCUGAUAAGCUUUAGGUUCAUCCGGAUGUAAGUAUACGGCACAUAUAAAAUAUUGCUUAAAUCUAAUUGCAAAAAUCUAUAUAGGCUGACACAUACAAGCAAUAUGGAAAAUUCUCUC